rnacentral:rRNA from 1 species
CUACGGGUGGCUGCAGUGAGGAAUAUUGCACAAUGGGGGGAACCCUGAUGCAGCAACGCCGCGUGGAGGAUGACGCAUUUCGGUGUGUAAACUCCUUUUAUAUGUCAAGAAAAUGACGGUAGCAUAUGAAUAAGCACCGGCUAACUCCGUGCCAGCAGCCGCGGUAAUACGGGAGGGUGCAAGCGUUAAUCGGAAUCACUGGGCGUAAAGGACGCGUAGGCGGGUUGGAAAGUCAGGUGUGAAAUCCUACAGCUUAACUGUAGAACUGCACUUGAAACUUCUAAUCUAGAGUAUGGGAGGGGGAGAUGGAAUUAGUGGUGUAGGGGUAAAAUCCGUAGAUAUCACUAGGAAUACCUAAAGCGAAGGCGAUCUCCUGGAACAUUACUGACGCUAAGGCGUGAAAGCGUGGGGAGCAAACAGGAUUAGAUACCCGAGUAGUC